AGAAGCUCUCUUGCCUCUUCUCUUUUCGUUAUCCACGAAGCUCUUUUUUCUCUCCGUCUGUUUCGUUCUCUAUAAUCAUCUCUCUGCUUCAUGGGCAUGCAUCUUCGCUGGUGUCCGAUAGAGAUUAAGUUUAGCUUUUCGUGGAUGUCGAUCAUCUUUUUUCUCGGUUUUGCCUCAUGGAUCUCGUAGCUUCUACGAUCCAUGGAACCACAAUGGAUGGCCAGUGAAUACGGUGUGCGGUGUGAAGCGUAAUCAGGAAUGGACGGCGAUCAAAUCUGAAUUUCUGGGUAAAUUUGGUGCCUUUAGAAGGCUUCAGUGCACUUCAAGGAAUUUCGGGUUCACAUAAGUUUCAGAUACACAAGGCAUAUAGCAGCCAUGAUCACUUGCCAUCUGCACAUACUUGAUUCAAUCAGUUGGAUUUACUUGAGUAUCCCUCCAAGGAAUUUCUAGAGGAGAAACUUUUGGUUGCAAUUCAUGAAGGCAAUGAAGGAUUUGGAUUUGGUUGAGUAUUAUGAAUGGGGAUUAUGUAGGUAAUGUCAUAUGUGAGACAAGUUGUAAGUAAUGGGAAAAGAGCUCUGGUAUAAGGUUUGAUCCUGGGAAGUUGGGUUGAUACAUGUUAACAUACUUGCUGAUUUAAUGGUUAGUAUAUCAUUGUCCUGC